UACGUAGGGUGCAAGCGUUAAUCGGAAUUACUGGGCGUAAAGCGUGCGCAGGCGGUUUUGUAAGUCUGUCGUGAAAUCCCCCGGGCUCAACCUGGGAAUGGCGAUGGAGACUGCAAGGCUAGAGUUUGGCAGAGGGGGGUAGAAUUCCACGUGUAGCAGUGAAAUGCGUAGAUAUGUGGAGGAACACCGAUGGCGAAGGCAGCCCCCCUGGGUCAAAACUGACGCUCAUGCACGAAAGCGUGGGGAGCAAACAGG
rnacentral:rRNA from 1 species